CCUACGGGGGGCAGCAGUGAGGAAUAUUGGUCAAUGGACGAGAGUCUGAACCAGCCAAGUAGCGUGAAGGAUGACUGCCCUAUGGGUUGUAAACUUCUUUUAUAUGGGAAUAAAAUGUUCCACGUGUGGGAUUUUGUAUGUACCAUAUGAAUAAGGAUCGGCUAACUCCGUGCCAGCAGCCGCGGUAAUACGGAGGAUCCGAGCGUUAUCCGGAUUUAUUGGGUUUAAAGGGAGCGUAGGUGGAUUGUUAAGUCAGUUGUGAAAGUUUGCGGCUCAACCGUAAAAUUGCAGUUGAAACUGGCAGUCUUGAGUACAGUAGAGGUGGGCGGAAUUCGUGGUGUAGCGGUGAAAUGCUUAGAUAUCACGAAGAACUCCGAUUGCGAAGGCAGUUCACUGGACUGCAACUGAUACUGAGGCUCGAAAGUGUGGGUAUCAAACAGGAUUAGAUACCCGGGUAGUC
rnacentral:rRNA from 1 species